AUGAACGCUGGCGGCGUGCCUAAUACAUGCAAGUCGAGCGAACAGACGAGGAGCUUGCUCCUCUGACGUUAGCGGCGGACGGGUGAGUAACACGUGGAUAACCUACCUAUAAGACUGGGAUAACUUCGGGAAACCGGAGCUAAUACCGGAUAAUAUAUUGAACCGCAUGGUUCAAUAGUGAAAGACGGUUUUGCUGUCACUUAUAGAUGGAUCCGCGCCGCAUUAGCUAGUUGGUAAGAUAACGGCUUACCAAGGCAACGAUGCGUAGCCGACCUGAGAGGGUGAUCGGCCACACUGGAACUGAGACACGGUCCAGACUCCUACGGGAGGCAGCAGUAGGGAAUCUUCCGCAAUGGGCGAAAGCCUGACGGAGCAACGCCGCGUGAAUGAUGAAGGUCUUCGGAUCGUAAAACUCUGUUAUUAGGGAAGAACAAAUGUGUAAGUAACUAUGCACGUCUUGACGGUACCUAAUCAGAAAGCCACGGCUAACUACGUG
rnacentral:rRNA from 1 species